rnacentral:rRNA from 1 species
UAACGCGUAGGUAACCUGCCUUGUAGCGGGGGAGUAACUAUUGGAAACGAUAGCUAAUACCGCAUAACAAUGGGUGACUCAUGUCAUUUAUUUUAAAGGGGGCAAAAUGCUCCACUACAAGAUGGACCUGCGUUGUAUUAGCUAGUAGGUGAGGUAACGGCUCACCUAGGCGACGAUACAUAGCCGACCUGAGAGGGUGAUCGGCCACACUGGGACUGAGACACGGCCCAG